UACGUAGGGGGCUAGCGUUAUCCGGAAUUACUGGGCGUAAAGGGUGCGUAGGUGGUUUCUUAAGUCAGAGGUGAAAGGCUACGGCUCAACCGUAGUAAGCCUUUGAAACUGGGAAACUUGAGUGCAGGAGAGGAGAGUGGAAUUCCUAGUGUAGCGGUGAAAUGCGUAGAUAUAUGGAGGAACACCGGUGGCGAAAGCGGCUCUCUGGCCUGUAACUGACACUGAGGCUCGAAAGCGUGGGGAGCAAACAGG
rnacentral:rRNA from 1 species